AUACGUAGGGGACAAGCGUUGUCCGGAUUUACUGGGCGUAAAGGGCACGCAGGCGGUUUUUUUAAGUCAGAUGUGAAAGGUACCGGCUCAACCGGUGACAUGCAUUUGAAACUGAAAGACUUGAGUAUUGGAGAGGCAAGUGGAAUUCCUAGUGUAGCGGUGAAAUGCGUAGAUACCUUAGGAGGAACACCGGUGGCGAAGGCGGCUUGCUGGACAAAUACUGACGCUGAGGUGCGAAAGCGUGGGGAGC
rnacentral:rRNA from 1 species